GACGAACGUUUGCGGCGUGCUUAACACAUGCAAGUCGAACGGAAAGGCCCUGCUUUUGUGGGGUGCUCGAGUGGCGAACGGGUGAGUAACACGUGAGUAACCUGCCCUUGACUUUGGGAUAACUUCAGGAAACUGGGGCUAAUACCGGAUAGGAGCUCCUGCUGCAUGGUGGGGGUUGGAAAGUUUCGGCGGUUGGGGAUGGACUCGCGGCUUAUCAGCUUGUUGGUGGGGUAGUGGCUUACCAAGGCUUUGACGGGUAGCCGGCCUGAGAGGGUGACCGGCCACAUUGGGACUGAGAUACGGCCCAGACUCCUACGGGAGGCAGCAGUGGGGAAUAUUGCACAAUGGGCGGAAGCCUGAUGCAGCAACGCCGCGUGCGGGAUGACGGCCUUCGGGUUGUAAACCGCUUUCGCCUGUGACGAAGCGUGAGUGACGGUAAUGGGUAAAGAAGCACCGGCUAACUACGUGCCAGCAGCCGCGGUGAUACGUAGGGUGCGAGCGUUGUCCGGAUUUAUUGGGCGUAAAGGGCUCGUAGGUGGUUGAUCGCGUCGGAAGUGUAAUCUUGGGGCUUAACCCUGAGCGUGCCUUCGAUACGGGUUGACUUGAGGAAGGUAGGGGAGAAUGGAAUUCCUGGUGGAGCGGUGGAAUGCGCAGAUAUCAGGAGGAACACCAGUGGCGAAGGCGGUUCUCUGGGCCUUUCCUGACGCUGAGGAGCGAAAGCGUGGGGAGCGAACAGGCUUAGAUACCCUGGUAGUCCACGCUGUAAACGGUGGGUACUAGGUGUGGGGUCCAUUCCACGGGUUCCGUGCCGUAGCUAACGCUUUAAGUACCCCGCCUGGGGAGUACGGCCGCAAGGCUGAAACUCAAAGGAAUUGACGGGGCCCCGCACAAGCGGCGGAGCAUGCGGAUUAAUUCGAUGCAACGCGUAGAACCUUACCUGGGUUUGACAUGGAUCGGGAGUGCUCAGAGAUGGGUGUGCCUCUUUUGGGGUCGGUUCACAGGUGGUGCAUGGCUGUCGUCAGCUCGUGUCGUGAGGUGUUGGGUUAAGUCCCGCAACGAGCGCAACCCUUGUUCACUGUUGCCAGCACGUUAUGGUGGGGACUCAGUGGAGACCGCCGGGGUCAACUCGGAGGAAGGUGGGGAUGACGUCAAGUCAUCAUGCCCCUUAUGUCCAGGGCUUCACGCAUGCUACAAUGGCUGGUACAGAGAGUGGCGAGCCUGUGAGGGUGAGCGAAUCUCGGAAAGCCGGUCUCAGUUCGGAUUGGGGUCUGCAACUCGACCUCAUGAAGUCGGAGUCGCUAGUAAUCGCAGAUCAGCAACGCUGCGGUGAAUACGUUCCCGGGGCU
rnacentral:rRNA from 1 species